AGAAUCAACGCUGGCGGCGUGCCUAACACAUGCAAGUCGCACGAGAAAGGGGAGCAAUCCCUGAGUACAGUGGCGCACGGGUGAGUAACACGUGAAUAAUCUACCUCCGAGUGGGGAAUAACUGAGAGAAAUCUUAGCUAAUACCGCAUAACACUUACGAGUCAAAGCAGCAAUGCGCUUGGAGAGGAGUUCGCGGCCGAUUAGUUAGUUGGCGGGGUAAUGGCCACCAAGACGAUGAUCGGUAUCCGGCCUGAGAGGGCGCACGGACACACUGGAACUGAAACACGGUCCAGACUCCUACGGGAGGCAGCAGUGGGGAAUUUUGCGCAAUGGGGGAAACCCUGACGCAGCAACGCCGCGUGGAGGAUGAAGCCCCUUGGGGUCGUAAACUCCUUUCGAUCGGGAAGAUAAUGACGGUACCGAUAUAAGAAGCCCCGGACUAACUUCGUGCCAGCAGCCGC
rnacentral:rRNA from 1 species